AUCUAGUUGAUGAGUCCCAAAUAGGACGAAACACUCAUCAAACUGGAU
rfam:Schistosoma curassoni strain Dakar, Senegal genome assembly, scaffold: SCTD_scaffold0002344